AGGUGGCUCGCUUCACGGCUUCCCUACGGCACCAAUCACGGUCGCACCGUGACUGACACCUAGCGAGCAUCGUUUACGGCUAGGACUACCCGGGUAUCUAAUCCGGUUCGUGCCCCUAGCUUUCGUCCCUUACCGUCGGACCCGUUCUGGUGAGACGCCUUCGCCACUGGUGGUCCCCCGAGGAUCACAAGAUUUCACCCCUACCCCCAAGGUACCUCUCACCUCUCCCGGUCCCAAGCCAAACAGUAUCCCCUAGCAGCCUGACAGUUGAGCUGCCAGAUUUCCCAAGGGACUUACUUGGCCGGCUACAGACCCUUUAGACCCAAUAAUAACGGUUANNCUCGGGCCGCCGGUGUUACCGCGGCGGCUGGCACCGGUCUUGCCCGGCCCUUGCUAACAGAUGCUUUUUAGGCAUCUGGACAGCCAACAUUAUAUGCUGGCACUCGAGAUUCCCUUAUCACGGUUUCCCGCAUUGUAAAGUUUU
rnacentral:rRNA from 1 species